ACUGCUCAGUAACACGUGGCUAAUCUGCCCUUGGGACGAGAACAACCCCGGGAAACUGGGGCUAACUCUCGAUAGGCGAAGAACUCUGGAAUGAGUCUUUACCUAAAUAGUGCAACGUUAUGCUCGUUGCAUCGCCCAAGGAUGAGGCCGCGACCGAUCAGGUUGUUGGCGAGGUAAUGGCUCACCAAGCCUUUUACCGGUGCGGGCCGUGGGAGCGGGAGCCCGGAGAUGGGCACUGAGACAAGGGCCCAGGCCCUACGGGGCGCAGCAGUCGCGAAAACUUUGCAAUAAGCGAAAGCUUGACAGGGCUAUCCCGAGUGCCAUCCGCUGAGGAAGGCUUUUACCCAGUCUAGAACGCUGGGGGAAUAAGGAGAGGGCAAGUCUGGUGUCAGCCGCCGCGGUAAUACCAGCUCUCCGAGUGGUGUGGAUGUUUAUUGGGCCUAAAGCAUCCGUAGCUGGCUAAGUUAGUCCCUUGUUAAAUCCACCGAAUUAAUCGUUGGAUUGCGGGGGAUACUGCUUGGCUAGGGGACGAGAGAGGCAGACGGUAUUUUCGGGGUAGGGGUGAAAUCCUAUAAUCCCGGGAAGACCACCAGUGGCGAAGGCUGUCUGCUAGAACGCGCCCGACGGUGAGGGAUGAAAGCUGGGGGAGCGAACCGGAUUAGAUACCCGGGUAGUCCCAGCUGUAAACGAUGCAUGCUAGGUGUUUGGACGGCCACGUGCCGUUCUAGUGCCGCAGGGAAGCUGUUAAGCCUGCCGCCUGGGGAGUACGAUCGCAAGAUUGAAACUUAAAGGAAUUGGCGGGGGAGCAC
rnacentral:rRNA from 1 species